UACGAGGGGGGCAAGUGUUGUUCGGAAUCACUGGGCGUAAAGGGGGCGUAGGCGGGAAGAUAAGUCAGGUGUUUAAUUCUAGGGCCCAACCCUGGGUGUGCACUUGAAACUGUUUUUCUUGAAUAGGACAGAGGUGGAUAGAAUUCCUGGUGUAGCGGUGGAAUGCGUAGAUAUCAGGAAGAAUACCAGAGGCGAAGGCGGUCCACUGGGUCCAUAUUGACGCUGAGGCCCGAAAGUGCGGGGAGCAAACAGG
rnacentral:rRNA from 1 species